AACGAACGCUGGCGGCAGGCCUAACACAUGCAAGUCGAGCGGAUGGUGGUAGCUUGCUACCUGAUUCAGCGGCGGACGGGUGAGUAAUGCCUAGGAAUCUGCCUGGUAGUGGGGGACAACGUUUCGAAAGGAACGCUAAUACCGCAUACGUCCUACGGGAGAAAGUGGGGGAUCUUCGGACCUCACGCUAUCAGAUGAGCCUAGGUACGAUUAGCUAGUUGGUGAGGUAAAGGCUCACCAAGGCGACGAUCGUUAACUGGUCUGAGAGGAUGAUCAGUCACACUGGAACUGAGACACGGUCCAGACUCCUACGGGAGGCAGCAGUGGAGAGUAUUGGACAAUGGGCGAAAGCCUGAUCCAGCCAUGCCGCGUGUGUGAAGAAGGUCUUCGGAUUGUAAAGCACUUUAAGUUGGGAGGAAGGGCAGUAAGUUAAUACCUUGCUGUUUUGACGUUACCGACAGAAUAAGCACCGGCUAACUUCGUGCCAGCAGCCGCAGUAACAC
rnacentral:rRNA from 1 species